GAGUAUUGCCACACGCUACAUGUCUGUAUGCGCCACAGAAAGAGGUGCCCAUUUAAGACAACAGAAACAGAAUCGUGAUCACUGCAAGACUGUGAUGAAGGUGUUGGCAUUUGUUCAUGGACAGCUGGAAGCUGUGUUGGCCACUGUUGACCUGACUCACAUAGCCAAAGCCAAUGGUGCUGUGGAUGGCAUGAUGAUGGACCUGUUUCAUGAGGGAUGUUGUCUAUGACUUGUCCUCAUUACCAAAAGUGAUCCAAGGAUGAAAAAUAAAUAAAUAAAAAUGAGAGCUAACUAAAGUCACUGUCUGGAAAAUAGGACUGUUGACAUAUUCCAUAAUAGCUCAUUUUUUUCAAAUCUGGAGGAAAAUCUGGAAGUCGUGAAAUGGGACAUGGUUCAAGACAACCAUCAUGAUGAUGCAAAAGGGAGGCGCAGUUGCUGCACCACACCACAAUGCAGCAACCAUCAGAUGUAAUAAAAAAUGACACUGGUCGACGUGGCUGAACAUAGACCCACAAUUUGAACCUGUGAAAAUAGGGAACUGAGUUACAAUAAAAUGAGUUAAUUAAGAGUUAGGAGAACAGAACUUGAAAAAACAUUGAAAAGAAUAUUGUUGUAUAUUUCUGUAAAAAAUAGUAAAAAUUUGUCUCCAGUUUGAAGAAUCUAGUAUACAUGAUAACAUUAAAGUAUGCAUAAAAUGUAUAUCUUCUAUAACUGAUGUCAGUGACCAGUUUUAACAUAUAUUUCAUUUGUGUAUGCAAUACUGUAAAUUUGUAGUUUACGAAAAGUUUACAUUUUUUAAUUUGGGAUUUAUAUUGGAAGGUUUUUAGCUAACUGUCUGGACAGUGGAUUGUAUACUCAGCUAUUGGGUGGUAUCUGUAUAUACGACCCAAUGUGAGGGUUGCGUGACAUAGCAUGGUGAAUUCUCCCCAUCUGUUAUGUUUUUUCUACUCUCACUAAUAACCCAUUUUUUGAUAAUUUUUAUCUUAUUCUCAAUACCUUUAUCUACUGACAGGGAACACUUAGAUGAAAAUCUCAAGAUCUUAUUUAGACGUAAUUUUACUUGAAUUUACUCUUCAGAUUGUCAUUCUGGUUGUUUUGUUUACAUUAAGAUAAUUAAUUUUCAUUAGGGCACUCAUAAUUUGAAAAUGAAAUUGAGUGAUAUUAAUACUACAGUGCAACAUACAAAGCCCAACGAGAUAAUGGGCAGGAUACAAAGAAUGACCUACAUCUUUAGAAAGCUAAGCAUUCUAAAUUUCCAGUAACCUAUCUUAAAUUACCUAAGAAUAGUUAUCUUCCAAAAUAAUUAAACUUAAAUUUCUGACCACUACAAUUUUUCAUUAUUUGUUUUGCUCUACCAACUGUUAGAAUGUGAUUUUUGGCUACAUACUUUCAUUACCUUAAUUUUUCUGUACAAUGUGACAUGCAGAACUAAGUAAUUAACUCACUGCUUAAUAAUGUCAUGUAAUUUACACUAAUUUGCAAUAUGACAAUCAUAUAUGCAAAUGAGAGGAUUGAUAUCACAAUGAAUAAUACUGUCUAUGCAUUUUUCUAAAUUUCUAACCAAUAACAUUUUCUACAUGCCAAAAUCACACUGGAUAUUGUAGUUCAUCAAAAACAGUAAAACUCACCCCAGCCAAUUCUCUAAGCACAAUCUAAUUUACAAAAUAACAGUCUGUUCUUACACCUAUCUUCAAGAAGUUAGACAUCACCCAAAAUUGGCAGUUUGCUGUUAGGAAACCAAAGAGUAAGACCUAUGUCAGGUGCACUCUCCGUGUUGGCUCACACCAGUCAUGCAUGUUCUGUACAUGUAAAUGCAUGCUCUGACAUCCACAAAGCUCAAGAAAUUUAAUGUUUAAAGCCUUCUGUAACAUAAAUUAAGGAACAUUUUAUUGAAAUGUGUUUUGAUUAACAAGUGAUGUGAAAAAUCAUUGUCAUCAAAACAAAUGAUGGUUGGACACAAAGAUUCUCAUUUUGUACUGAAU